rnacentral:rRNA from 1 species
GACGAACGCUGGCGGCGUGCUUAACACAUGCAAGUCGAACGGAAAGGCUCUGCUUUUGUGGGGUGCCCGAGUGGCGAACGGGUGAGUAACACGUGAGUAACCUGCCCUUGACUUUGGGAUAACUUCAGGAAACUGGGGCUAAUACCGGAUAGGAGCUCCUGCUGCAUGGUGGGGGUUGGAAAGUUUCGGCGGUUGGGGAUGGACUCGCGGCUUAUCAGCUUGUUGGUGGGGUAGUGGCUUACCAAGGCUUUGACGGGUAGCCGGCCUGAGAGGGUGACCGGCCACAUUGGGACUGAGAUACGGCCCAGACUCCUACGGGAGGCAGCAGUGGGGAAUAUUGCACAAUGGGCGGAAGCCUGAUGCAGCAACGCCGCGUGCGGGAUGACGGCCUUCGGGUUGUAAACCGCUUUCGCCUGUGACGAAGCGUGAGUGACGGUAAUGGGUAAAGAAGCACCGGCUAACUACGUG